ACUACACUAUAUGAGCGUAUCUAUACUUUUAUGAAUAUAUUCAUGUUUCUUGUCUCGUCGACGUCGAUGGCAUGAACAUAUUCCGGCUAAAUAGUAUUUUUUUGUGUAUCGUUGUUUCACUUUCAUCAUUUGUAGUUGCUCACUCUAACACACAUUUACAACGUUUGUUUACACGACAUUUUCUCUGUUCGGUGUAGCAAACAGACAAAGAAACAUUCAUAGUGAGUGAUUUUGAUACUCGUUAUCGAAAACAAAACAACAUAAGCAGCAGCACCAGCAGUCGAAGCAGCAUCGAAACAUUUUUUGUGUCUGUCGUAUUUUUAAUCUUAAUCGUGUUGGUCGAAUAUUACAGUGUACGCAUCAUUAUUAUUCAUAGUUGUAGCCGUUUUUUUGUAUUCAAAUCAUUUCGUUAACGACGGAAAAAGGAACAUUUAAUUUACCAAAGAUGCAAACGUUUGGUAUCAAAUAUGCACUCCUGCUGAGCAUCUUCUUCGUAUCAUGCUUUUGCGAAGAAAGACCAAAAAUCAUUUCGAAGGUAACACCGUCUCUUGAAUGUAGUACGGGCGAUGAUGCUGAACUAUCAUGCUAUGUAGAAAAUCCAUCUGCAUAUUCCGUUUCAUGGGUAAAAACGAAUCGCGACAAUCCAUCUGAUCAGACAAUUUUGUCCUUUGGCAAUCAAUUAUCGGUUGUAAAUGAUCCACGUUUUAAAUUGGAAGUCACUUCCGAUCGAUAUACAUUACAUAUUAAAAACAUUGAAUUUACCGAUGCUGCUGUCUAUCAAUGUCAAGUAAUGGUAUCGGUAAAUUACAAAGAUGUGGCAACCGUGGACCUUUUGAUUAGACAUGCACCAAAGAUCGUCAAAGACAUUGAAGUCACCCCAUCACCGGCAACAUUGAAGGGUUAUGUUGAACUCCGUUGUACAGCCGAUGGAUAUCCAAAUCCAUCGAUUUCAUGGAAAAGAGCUGGCAAUGUACUUAUCCCAGCUGGUGGUAACAUUUAUAAUGGCACCAUUUUACGCAUGGAAAAUGUAUCACAACAAGACCGUGGUGUCUAUUAUUGUAUUGCUGACAAUGGUAUUGGACAACCUGAUCAACGUUCGGUCAACUUGGAAGUGGAAUUUCCACCAAAAAUAACCGCACCAAGACCACGAGUUGCUCAAGCCCUUGGCUAUGACAUUGAAUUGGAAUGCAAAGUCGAAGGUUUUCCAGCACCCCAAGUUUCCUGGUACGAUGGUGACAAACAAAUUUUGCACGAAGGCGAUUACAUCAUUUCCCAUACGGCCACCACCAACGACAUUACCACCUCGAUUUUACGCAUUACCACUGUUGAAAGCAAACAAUAUGGCGACUAUGUGUGUAAAGCAUCCAAUAAACUCGGAGCGGCUGAAGCAAAGGUCAACUUAUUCGAUUCUGUUGUCGCUGUCUACCCAUGGCAAGCAUAUGCAAGAGAUCAGCAAUAAUUUUAAUUUUCUCAUUUUCAUUUUAUUAUUUACAAGAUCAUCCGAUUCCAAAUAUAUAUUUUGCUGGUUUGCAGUGGAAUUCAUCGUCAAAAUCUUUUGGCCGUAUUUGAGUUACCAAUCCAAUAAUGACAGCAGAUUUAUGAAGAGAAUGCUAUUUUUUGCGAGGAGAAAGAGAGAAAGAAAGAUAGACAGUACAAAAUCUGCCACUGAAAAAGAACAAAAACCAAAAAAAAAACAAACGAACUACGAACGAAGGGCGAAAAUCUCAUACCGCAAAUCAAAUAAUUUCAGACAAUGUAUUCAAUGUUUUGCAUAUAGGAAUGAUAGGAA